rnacentral:rRNA from 1 species
AUUGAACGCUGGCGGCAGGCUUAACACAUGCAAGUCGAGCGGGGACUUCGGUCCUAGCGGCGAACGGGUGAGGAAUGCUUGGGAAUCUGCCCAGUAGCGGGGGAUAACGUUUCGAAAGGAACGCUAAUACCGCAUACGCCCUACGGGGGAAAGGGGGGGAUCUUCGGACCUCUCACUAUUGGAUGAGCCCAAGUCGGAUUGGCUAGUCGGUGGGGUAAAGGCCUACCAAGGCGACGAUCCGUAGCUGGUCUGAGAGGAUGAUCAGCCACACUGGAACUGAGACACGGUCCAGACUCCUACGGGAGGCAGCAGUGGGGAAUAUUGGACAAUGGGCGGAAGCCUGAUCCAGCCAUGCCGCGUGUGUGAAGAAGGUCUUCGGAUUGUAAAGCACUUUAAGUUGGGAGGAAGGGUUGUAAGCUAAUAUCUUGCAGCUUUGACGUUACUAACAGAAUAAGCACCGGCUAACUCUGUGCCAGCCGCCGCUGUAAGAC